rnacentral:rRNA from 1 species
GAUGAACGCUGGCGGCGUGCUUAACACAUGCAAGUCGAACGAUGAUGCCAGCUUGCUGGUGGAUUAGUGGCGAACGGGUGAGUAACACGUGAGUAACCUGCCCUUGACUCUGGGAUAAGCCUGGGAAACUGGGUCUAAUACCGGAUAUGACUGACUAUCGCAGGGUGGUCGGUGGAAAGCUUUUGUGGUUUUGGAUGGACUCGCGGCCUAUCAGCUUGCUGGUGGGGUAAUGGCCUACCAAGGCGACGACGGGUAGCCGGCCUGAGAGGGUGACCGGCCAGACGGGGACUGGGACACGGCCUGGACUCCUACGGGGGGCAGCAGUGGGGGAUGUUGCACAAUGGGCGCAAGCCUGAUGAAGCGACGCCGCGUGAGGGAUGACGGCCUUCGGGUUGUAAAACUCUUUCAGUAGGGAAGAAGCCGUAAGGUGACGGUACCUGCAGAAGAAGCGCCGGCUAACUACGUGCCAGCCGCCGCGGUAAGAC